GUGGGGGAUAUUGCGCAAUGGGGGCAACCCUGACGCAGCAACGCCGCGUGAAGGAAGACGGUUUUCGGAUUGUAAACUUCUUUAAGUGUGGAAGAAGAUGACGGUACACACAGAAUAAGCCACGGCUAACUACGUGCCAGCAGCCGCGGUAAUACGUAGGUGGCGAGCGUUGUCCGGAUUUACUGGGUGUAAAGGGCGUGUAGGCGGGAUUACAAGUCAGAUGUGAAAUACCGGGGCUCAACUCCGGGGCUGCAUUUGAAACUGUAGUUCUUGAGUGCCGGAGAGGAAAGCGGAAUUCCUAGUGUAGCGGUGAAAUGCGUAGAUAUUAGGAGGAACACCAGUGGCGAAGGCGGCUUUCUGGACGGUAACUGACGCUGAGGCGCGAAAGUGUGGGGAGCAAACAGGAUUAGAUACCCCUGUAGUCC
rnacentral:rRNA from 1 species